rnacentral:rRNA from 1 species
CGUAGGUGAACCUGCGGAAGGAUCAUUGUCGAAUCCGUAAAACAGACGACCGGCGAACUCGUUCAACUUACGGGCGUCGGGAAGGAGCUUGCUUCAGAACGACGUCCCGGUGUGUGCCCGUGCCUGCAGGCAGGGGCAGUGCCCAAUACUAAAUCCCAGCGCGGAAAGCGCCAAGGAUGACUGAAAACAUGUGACGGUCGUCCCCCUUGCCGGCCCGUCUACGGGUGUGGGUAGGGGUGGCCGAUCGUUUGUCGUAACAAAAACGACUCUCGGCAACGGAUAUCUCGGCUCUUGCAUCGAUGAAGAACGUAGCAAACUGCGAUACUUGGUGUGAAUUGCAGAAUCCCGUGAACCAUCGAGUCUUUGAACGCAAGUUGCGCCCGAAGCCAUUAGGCCAAGGGCACGUCUGCCUGGGCGUCACGCAUCGCGUCGCCCCCACCUAUCACCCCUCAUCCGCAUCUCGGAUGAGGGAUGAUGCUGCUGGGGCGUAGAUUGGCUUCCCGUGCUCAUGUGCGGCUGGCCCAAACCUCGGUCCGUCGAUAUGGACGCAACGACGUUUGGUGGUUGAAUUUCUCAACUCGAGAGCUGUCGUGCGGCGUCCUAUUCCGAGUCGAGACUCUAAUGACCCUGUCGCAAUGCUUUGCAACGACCGCGACCCCAGGUCAGGCGGGACUACCUGCUGAGUUUAAGCAUAUCAAU